UCAGACUGAAUACACCUCCAGAAACCCCUACACCAGGGCACUAUCAGACUCCAAUUGAUGCACAAAUAAGUGGUGGUUGAGAAGUUCACUGUCCACUUGCAGAUGAAGUGAAAUAUUAUCCAGUGCUGUUUCUUCCUAUAAAGCACUUUGACUUGAAAUGGUCAAGAAUUGAAUUGCACAAAACUAUUGUGC